AAGGUUUAUGAACAUUUCGCUUCUUUACCCUUUUCAAACUCAAUUUCUUUUUCCUCUUUUUUCUUUUUCUCGGAUCUUCUUUCUCCCUCUCUCCAAAGUUCUUCGAUCCUUUCGGUCUCCUUUCCGUCUCCAAAGUUCUCCGAAGUUAGCUGCAUACGAUUAGCAACUUUGUGGAAAGAAGGAUUUUAUUUUUGUUUUUCUUCCUUUAAUUGCUGAUUAUUUCUGGGUUUCGAGAAUAGAUUUAAAAUUAGCUCAAGUUGGAUAUUGCAAGGUUCAGUCGAAGUUUAGUGUUGGAAACUGCAAUUAUUGACUUAAUUCGCUGAAUCGAUUAGAAACUGCAUGUCCAGUGAAACGAUUACCAAGUUAAUUUUGUCAUUAUUUUGGGUUGAGGGGUGGGGGAACGGGUUCUGUAUCUUCUCUCUAUACAAGUUAAAUAAAUUUAUAUUUAAUUUCUCUAAAAAAAGAUUAUUACCAUUUCCCCAAGUUCUUUCUCUCCCUAACAAAAAGGGGUCGUUUAUCUUGUUUCGUUUUAGUUUUUUAGGGUUUCGUUUAAUCAAAGGCCGUUGAAGGAGGACGAUUUAAUGGCGGUGGCGACGGCACAAGGGAUGGACCCAGCGGUACUAGACGAUAUAAUCAGAUGGUCGACGGAAGUCCGGUCAGCCAGGCCAGGGAAACAAGUGCAAUUAUCUGAAUCUGAGAUCAAACAGCUUUGUGUUGCUUCGAAAGAUAUCUUCGUUCAACAACCUAAUUUGCUUGAACUUGAAGCACCCAUCAAAAUUUGCGUGGCAAGCAGAGUUUGGAAACUUCUAGAGAUAACCGAGAAGUGGAACAUGGUUUGUCUGUAAAAUUGCAAGUUCAAAAGUUAAUUCUCCAAGCUACAUCACAUGAAGAUUUGUGCCAGAACUAUGUUGGGUGGUGUCCUUCUUGGUGAUCUCAAGAACAAAAAAGAAAUGUGUUGGCGCUGGGUGCUCUCGACUACUCUCUGACAUGCAGGCUUUCAAGGUGAGACACCGUUUAAGGAAAGAUCAUGGGAUUGAGGGUGGAAUUCUUGUUGUUUUCUCUUUAGAGAAACCUAAAGCUAAGCUGCUUCCUUUUAGAGGACAAAGUGGUGAGGAAGACAACCCUUCAGAUUAUCAAGUGAGGAUGCUUGCUUCUUACUUUUGCAGUUUUAAAGUACUCUGUUUGAUCACCUAACAUCAUGUAGUGGGGAAAUUCAUCCAAUAUAUUGAAGCAGAAUUUGAAAUGAGAAUUGAAAGUACAUUUGGAUGGAGCUAAAGUUGUGUUUCUUUUAGCGAUAUAUUUGAACUUGCUAGUGUUAGGUCCCUGGUUUUUGCUAUCUCUAGAUUUAAGGGUAGAAGGAAAAGGAAAAUAUUUUGGUCUACAUUAGUAUGUAAUUGUUUAAUCCAACAAUUUAAUGUGUUAUUCUGCUGUCAGAUAGUACCUGGGCAGGUUCAACAAUUUAAUGCAUUGUAUUUUUUAUUACCUUGCAAUUUGUAUAGUUAUAGGCAGGUUCAAUUAGUCAGUCUAUUUUUCAUAUGUAUUAUUUAUUUUAGGUUUGAUUCUAAAUUUUUAUUUUUACUUUAAUAUUUACGACAACUUGAGUUCUAA